CCACAGUAUGCUCUUUGUCUCCUGCCUGAAACCCAACUGACCCUGAUAAGCUUUUAUGAUCCUAGUUUUAUGAUGAGGAAAGGAACAUUCACAGGCCCAAUAUCACAGAGUCCUAACAAGCAUCAGGAUUUAACCUCAGAUAUCAUCACUCCAAGGACCAAUCCUUCCUCAGCUUCCCAUUCCAGAACCGGCAAAUGCAGCUGGCAGUUCUUCUCUGCUGGAAAAGACAGCCCUUCAGAGUUCAGCCCUGCGUUCUCCAGAGUGGCCAGGAGUGGGAGGUACUCAGGGACCAUUGCUGAGGACCUGAAGGCAUCUGGAGGGCAGGCAUGCCUUUGCUGGAUCACAGGAGAAAUUGGAACAACCGCCUAG
rnacentral:lncRNA from 9 species